rnacentral:rRNA from 1 species
GACGAACGCUGGCGGCGUGCUUAACACAUGCAAGUCGAACGGAGUGGCGAACGGGUGAGUAACACGUGGGUGAUCUGCCUUGCACUUCGGGAUAAGCUUGGGAAACUGGGUCCAAUACCGGAUAGUGCAAGAUGAGGUCGCGGCCUAUCAGCUUGUUGGUGGGGGAAUGGCCUACCAAGGCGUAGACGGGUAGCCGGCCUGAGAGGGUGUACGGCCACAUUGGGACUGAGAUACGGCGCAGAGUCCGACGGGAGGCAGUGGUGGGGAAUAUUGCACAAUGGGCGGAAGCCUGAGGCAGAGGCGCGGGGUGGGGAAUGAAGGCCUUCGGGUUGUAAACGCGUUUCGACAGGGACGCGGUACCUGUAUAAGAAGCACCGGCUAACUACGUGCCAGCAGCCGCGGUAAUAC